GUUAGAGCCUGGAUUUCUUGUUCAUACAAGGCCAGUAUUUCAUUACCGAAUGUGUACUAUAUUGACAUUAGCCUGAUUUAUCCAUGAAAGUGUGCAUGGAAAUACCCACAGAAGAAAGGCAGGGCAAAGAAUUCAAACACAUUUCACACAAAAGACUUGUGAACAAGAGCAGAUAUGGACAGCUCACAUUCUGCAACAGGUUAUGGUGCCCGGACUUCUUCAGAACAACCCAGUGUGCAGCCCAGAAUGACCAUGAAGGGCAAAUGACCUUGAAGCAGCCUGGGAAAAGCAGAAGCCACAAGGAGACCCUCUGAGAAGAAGCCUGCUGAAUACAAUACUUCUGACAGAUCGUGCCGACUGUAACAAUUUGGUGAGCACAGCAGACAUCUGACAUCUGAUUAUCAUGUAGCAACAGUCGUCCACUGGGCAUGGCAUCACCAGCUGUUCCUCUCUUUUGUAUCUGAACCUGCCAUGUCUGUCUUGCCUUCAGAUUCUGCAUCAGGAAGAAAAUGUGAGCAGUAAACUAGACAUAUUAUGCAGUGAUGGGCAAGCCCCAGCAGCUCCAUCAGAAUUUGCUCAGAUAACACAAUUCCCUCCCGCACAAUCAGAAUUUAAAUGUUUUCUUUCUGAGCCCAUUCCUGCUUUCUGCAACACUGUUACAAGCAGCAUCCCAGGUGCCAGGAACUCCAUAGCUACAUUCCCCAUAUGCUGCUGUGGCAGCAUUCUAGAGUAUAAUCAUCCCCAUCCCUCCCCAAUAGGAGGAUGGGGAUCAGUUUAUAUCUGAGGGAAUGGGGUGGUGAUGGGGCAACAGGGAGAGUCCAUUCUAAACUUUGAGUCUGAACUGGGAAGAUUAUGUGAUCAGUUCACAAUGGGCUCAGGGCAGGGUGAGUUUCUAAACACAAUGCAUACAUUCUUAUUCCAAGGCUGAAUUCCAAAAUUCAGUGGCCAAGGUGAUGUGCACUGUUACAAGGGCAAUGCACACUGUGGCACUGCUGUUGUGGAACCAGAAGGAUGUUAAUGCUGAUGGGCAGCCGUGCAAGUAGUGUCCCUGCACUUUUCCCCAUUGGGCCAAACAGAGGAAAGUGCCGGGACUCUGCACAACUGCACAUCAUUAUUUCAGUUGUGUUUACCUCUCGUUUAUUGAACUUGUCCUUCAACAGUAAUGUGAAAAUUAGUCCAUAGAGACCUGGUAUUUAAUAGAUCGCCCAUAGUUGACACAUUAAGGGACAACAUUCAUUGUAACUGGUUAAGAACUGGGGUGAUGUUCAUAUUUAAACUCCAUGGCUGACCUUUAGACUAAUGAAGUGUGUGUGCAGCGACACUUUGUUUUCCAGGAGUCACACCAGCUACAGAGGGAAGGAGAGUUCCCCCUCCCGCGGAGUGCAUGCUGCAUAUUUGCUGCACAUACAGAUGUUGGCCAUUAUAUUUAAAAGAUUAACUGAAACAGAUGAAGUGAUGAUGUAUUCCAUGGAAUUUGGAAGAAUUUCAUAGAGUUAUAUACGCUGAGAUGGUUAUGUGGAAACCGGCAUUCUCUCACACUGGAUCCUUUACACUGCAAGGAUGAUGGAGAAAAUGGAGAUGAAGCACACAUUGAAAAGUGUACAAAUGCUACAUGAGAUUGUUAAAAGGAUGCAUUUUACAAGAACUACUUAACUUGCUUCAAUCAAAUGAGGAAAGUAGGUACCUCUGACUAUUUUAAAAUUUAAAAAAACUGAAAUCUUGGGAGAACUUGGAUUUCUUAAAUAAACAGUAAUCUACUUGAAAUCUUUGACCUCCCUAUCCCUCUCAUUUCCUUUUUGUCAUGUAUCUGCUUUUUAGAUUGUAAGCUUGUGAGCUGGGCUUUGUGCUCUUUUAUAUUAUUGUACAGCAUCUUGUCUUUUUUAGUAAC